GUAGAAAAUACCAGUUUUUCCCUCCACCUGGUGUUAUGGACAACGCAAACAACAGGAUGGGUUCCAUGGUCAGACAAGUUUUUCAGAAACUUGAACAUGAACACAGUGAAUCUCAAGAGGGAUGAUGACAGAGAAUUCAAAGUGUGGACUGAACUUGCUGAGGCUUUUAGUUCCUCCUGACCUGAGCACUUAGGGACAUUCCCAGAGUGCACCGCAAGCUUCAGGACAUAGGCACACUUAUCUUACGGAUAGAGGAAUGCUCCCCACAGGUUUUAAACAACUUGUUGUAGGUCUCAUGUAGUGAGUUCAGACAAGCCAGGACUGAAAGCGAGCCUAACGCCAAAGCCUAUGGUAUUAACCACCAGACUAGGCUGCGGCCGUUUACCAUGGAGUUUUGACAAAUCCGACAUGCGAGAGAAUUCGAACAGUAUCUAUAGGCAAGGAGAGGAAGUCAAGACUCCACACCCAGGUGGAAACUUCGAGAUUGGCGUCGCUGAACUGAGGGUAGAAGGGGACCGCUGGCAAAGUGUGAAAUCCCACAUCCCAAGGCAGUCCUGUAUCAUGGAAAUCCAGACUAUCCAGGGGAGAAGACAGCCUCAGAACGGAAGCGAAGAGGGAGCAGAACACAGAGUGGUUCCACCAAUUCCAGUCUACAGCUCUGCCUGUGUGUGAGUUGGGAAUCCUGAUGAGCAAGACGGGUUCCCUGUUGAUGAUGAAAUCUCGCUGCAUUGUGAAGAAAGCUGCCAUGUUCCUCAAUAGAGUUCUCCGUUGCUGAACGUCAUGGUAACAACUAACAUUUAAGAAACACUUACCAGCAGCCCUUUCAGGUGUGAAGCAGGAAGCCACGGGUGCCUUCCUUGGCAAGAUCCCCGACAGACAUGUGCUGGAACUGGUUCCUCCAGGCCCAUUAGAGCUGAUCGUGUGCAUGCGUGUCUUCCCAGCUCUGGUCGGUGCUGUCCCCAUUGGCAGCUUGAAAUUAGCCACGGUGGGAGAAGUUACCCCAUGGGAACUGGCAAACCCUACAGAUCAAGGCUCCUUACGCCGCCUCCCCACCCCCAUCCUUCCCCCAAAUGAGUGAAUGUCCUUGUGCCUUGGAAAUAGUAAGAGUACUUCCCUUCUAGGUUAUUCAGUUCGAUAAAGUAUGUAAAGCAUAUGGCAUUGUUUGUAUGUUUAUUUAUUUAAAUAAAUAAUGCAUACUGAGGGUUGAAAAAAAAAAACAGACAAAAAAAUGUUGCAGUGAAAAGUAAGUUUCUUUCUCACCCUGGACCUCCACUCCAAUUCCUGUCUUGAACAGGCAAGCUGUUUCUCCAAAUCCUUCCAGAGAUAGGUAAGCAUAUAU